CCAGUGUGGAUAAAAGGCAGCCUCAGUCUACUACACCAACAUAGAAGUUUCUCAAACACAUCAUGUGCCAACUGUCAAAAAUUAAUCGAAGCAGAUGUAAGCUGGAUUAUCAUAUGCCCUUUUUGCUAUACAGAAUCAGAAGUCCAACUUAUCUCCAGAGCCACAGUUCAAAUUGAUGAUGCAACUGGAUCACUCUCUGCAACAAUAUCAACACCAGACCUUGAAAAGUUCAUUCCCUUUACACCUGAGGAAUUAAAAUAUGCAGAAGACAAUGAGAAAAGUGUUCACGAUACGAUAGCAACAUCAGUCGACUCGGUGUUACUUUUCGCAUUUGUGUGCUCGCAAAAGACAUGCCACCAGCAAGAACCAAGCACAACAUACAACAUUGUCAAAGCAUACAACAUCACACCAGCCAAGAAACCAAAAUAGAAUAGGGACGAAGGGCCCCUUUUAAAAACAUUUUGCUUUUUGAAAACCAUUUAUAAAAAAUGGCCCAUAAUAGCCAAUGAAGCAACAUCUCACAGAUUAAAAUCUGACAAACUUUACUUUUUGUAUAUUGCUUCAAAUGCACAAAUCUAUUAAGAACUACAUAUCAAGAAGUUUUCAGUGCUUGUAGGAAGAUAAUUGCAAUAUGGCAAUAUUACUUUCUUGUGUCUCA